AUCCAGACUUAGACAAUGCUAGAUAAAUGAAAAACUUAUAAAACUUUUGAGGGAAAUUUGUGCAUUUCUCUCAAAAGUUUUGUCUUUCAUGAUGCAUGAGAGAUGAUAAACUUGCUUCUUCAUAAGAAUUCACAAUUCAGUUAUAAACACUUUUUUUUUAUAAAAAAAAAAAAAUUCAGAGGAUCCUAUACAGAAUUAUAAAAAUGACUAUUUACAUAAUAACAACAAAGCGGCUGUGGAAAGAUGGGCUACAGGAAAGCAUAACAAAUAUUCAUUGUUCUACAAAUUUGUCAUAUACUGCUAUUCAGAAAUAGUUCACUUUUUAAUAAAGAACAGAGUAUGACUUAUACAUAUUAUUGGAUAUCAAAAAUCUUCAUGUAAACUGAUAUAUCUCACAAGGGAUUGUUUUGAGUAACCACUUCAAAACCUUCAUAGGCUGGCAAUCAAUAGUGAUGGGAGUUAACAAUGUUAAAGGAAUUCAAAGUGUCAGUCCUGGAUCCCUUCCGAAGUUUCGAGUGUUGGAAUCAGAAUUGAACUUGAUCCUUCAAAUUAAGUGAAUCCUUUAUAUAUAUAUUAAAAUCAUUCCAAGGAUUUCUGCAUUGGUUAUAACUCUGUAAAAUUGAAUGUUUUGUCUGUCAUAAUACUUGUUCCAAAUAUAUCGUAUUUUUUUUUAAUAGCAGUUAGUGUAAGACCAAUUGUUAAACUAAUAUAUUGCAUUUUAGAUACAAUAUAUAGUUCAACAAUUAACACAGGUACUUCGACUUAUGUAUAUCUGGUUUUGCAUAAAGUCGAAUUUAAAGUAUAGAUUGUAAACAUGUUGCAUUACAAAUAUAAUAAUAAAAUGUUGGUUUUAAGACAUUGCUUCAUUUAAAACAGAUAGGUGAGCUUUUGUGUAUUGUUUUGUCGUUGUUAAAUAUUCUGUUGUUUGAUCUUUCCUCGUGGUAUUAUCUCCUAGUCGGGAAACAAUAUGGUGCCAUCAUACUGUAUAGAUGCAUUCCAAUAUUCUACUAGCUUCAGUAGUUUUUCUUCAGAAACUGUUGAUUUUUUUUUUUAACAUCUCUGAUCAGCUUUAAGAAUCUUGUCUACUUCACUAUAUAUUAGAGUAACGAUCCGAACGGUCAAACAUUGCGAUUUUUAAUCUAAGAAUGGAUGAAGAUUCGAAAAUAUAACAUGCAUGAGAGAUAAUAAACUUGAAAAGUUAGUUUCUUGUAUUAGAUUAACUUAGAUGAACCUAUAAAAGUGUUCUGAUAAAACGAGAUCAGCAGAAUUUUUGACUGUGAUCCAACAUUGAUUUUAGGAAUUUUUAACCCUUCUAUUCUAAAAAGAAGAAAAAACCUUCCAGAUUUCUGCAAGAUGAAACCAGUGUGAGCAAAAAAAAUACACUCCAUCCUCUUACUUCAUCCCAUCCUUGAGGAUAUUAAUACAGAAAGAACCCAGCAUGUCCCUAACAUUUUGCAUUAGUAAAAAUACAUAACUCGAUUAAAACCAGGUUAUACUUUAGUAAUUCAGAUCAUCUACUUUUAACAUGCAGAAAUGUUUGGCAGAUUAUCAUGCAAGCAUAUGAUAACGAAUUAUAAGUAUCAAUUUGUAUUGCCAGAAGAGUUUUUUGUAGUAUGUUAAUGAGGUUGGCCAGAACCUUACGUAAUUUAAUUUCAAAUCUUUAUUUCCUUCUCUUGAGCCGGAAAUUGCCUUUAGAAGCAUUGUUACAUUUUUUUAAUCUAUCAUAUCCCAGAAUAAGCAGAAGCAAGCAGCCAAAAGGGUGUUGGACUUCCAAUGGGAAGCAUACUAGUAGAAUUAGUAGUCGGAAUUCUUCAAACUAAAGUUAUACCCAGUACUCUGCAUAUAAGGUAGCAGACUUCUAUAUUUCUUCUCCGAUAGUCGUGGAACUAUAUGAAAAACUAGCAUUUAGUUACCAAACACACACUAUAAUAAUAAAUGCAGAUUGAGAGUAUAGCAAUGUUAUAGAUGCUGUCGAACGUGUAAAGGAUAUGGCAUCUCGUAAUCGGAAAGGGGGAGAAGAAUAUAGCAUGCAAACAUUUUAAGUCCACUAGAUAUGCUUCAGAAGUGCAUUCCUUAGGGUAGAAUUUUCCGGAAAAGUUUUGAAGGUAUCACUUAACGUAGAAAAGUAAUAUCGUUCCUUAAUAGUUUAAAAAUAGAACUCAUACCCAGUACACAAGAGAAAAAUGCGCUUUAUAGAAUCUUGAGGAAUCUUGAUUUAGAGAAGAGUUUUUUUGUUGAGAGCAUAACGAUAAUGUGAAUAGAGAACAAACUUCCACUGCCUUAUCCAUAAGACAUUUUGUAUAUCUACAUCCUCUUCUAAAUCUGCACACUGAGAAGUAUGUGAAGGCGAUGAUGACAGCACAAAGAAAAUAAAUAUCAUAAACAAAGUCGAUCCAGGCUGUUGGAAGCGGAACUGGAACAUAGAUCUUGAAAGUGAUCAAAGAUGAUGAUUAUUAUUAUAAGCGGAAGGGUUAGUGAAUCAAGGUGCUAAAUGCUUCCGGAGAAAGUAAUAACUGGGCUCUCUAAAUAAAAAAAAACAACAGAAAAAUUUAGGGUAAUACAUUUACCAUAAUAAUAAUGCUACACGAGGCUGCAGGACUCGCCCAUGCGUUAAAACGUCACCUGAGAAGAGUAACCAUCAGAUUAGACCUGGAUAUCUUUCUAACGUAAUUUUUUUUUAAUUCCACGAAGUUUAUAACUCAGUUUAAUGGAAUUUUUAUGUAUUAUAGAAUGUGUAAGACGAGUGCUGCUGAUAAUCUGGUCGUAAGCUUUACUGGAGAAAUAAAUGAAUGACUCUACUAUACGCAUCUUGUUAACAUAAAUUUUACCUGUUUUGUCUGGAUUUCAAUUCUGUGUUGAAAGCAUAGCAUUAAAUCGUUAAAUUAUUUUACACUAUACACUUUUUUUUAUAUUAUUGUUGCU
rnacentral:lncRNA from 1 species